rnacentral:rRNA from 1 species
UGGCUCAGAACGAACGCUGGCGGCAGGCUUAACACAUGCAAGUCGAGCGGGCGUAGCAAUACGUCAGCGGCAGACGGGUGAGUAACGUGUGGGAACAUACCUUUUGGUUCGGAACAACCCAGGGAAACUUGGGCUAAUACCGGAUAAGCCCUAACGGGGAAAGAUUUAUCGCCGAAAGAUUGGCCCGCGUCUGAUUAGCUAGUUGGUGAGGUAAUGGCUCACCAAGGCGAGGAUAAGUAGCUGGUCUGAGAGGAUGAUCAGCCACAUUGGGAUUGACUCACGGCCCAAGGGCCUACGGGAGGCAG